rnacentral:lncRNA from 1 species
UUUUUUUUUUUUUUUGUAUUCUGUCAUGUUUUCUUUUUAACUACACAAACACAUCCUUUCCCGGCAACCAACCAGAGAUGAUGAGAGCUGGGAUGAAUCCCAUGAGUCAUUUUAGUCCAGGCUCCUGUGUCGGCAGAGCACUUUUCAUUAUUCUUAAUCAUCUCAUCUCUCUCUAAGCUGGGCGUGUCCAGGUCCGUGAUUCUACUACGAUAUGAAUGGAUAUUAAACCCUGGGUGAACCUGCUCUUCAUUCACGGCCUAUUAUCAAAGCAUCAUGACUGCUGAGCUGAGGGGUCCUUGCCCAAAUACAGACAUCGGGCAUCUGGGUGGCAAGAAACACAGUGGUGGUGGCCAUGCCCUCUAAUUCUGUAAUGCACAAUAAUAUGUUCAGGGAGCAGGAGAGGGACACUCCAUUCUUGUCUCCUGUGGCUAAUGUUUUUUAAUCAUAAACAAAUGCUGUUCCAAGAUGUUGGUAUAGGACAGCAUUUCUUGACCUCAGGAUUAUAAACAUUUAGAGGGAGAUAAUUCUUUGUUGUGGGAGGCUGUCCUGUGCAUUGUAGGAUGUAUAGCAGCAUCCAUGGUUUUUGCUACCCACUUAGUGACAACCAAAAAUGACUCCAGACAUUGGCAAAUGUCCCCUGGGGUAAUGGUGGGGGGUGAAAUCAUCCUGGUUGAGAAGGACCUAGAAUGGCAACCCAAAGGCAGAAAGACAUGUAAAAGGACACACUGCACUUGGCCAUCUCCUCUGUCAAGUAUGCUUCUGGAAUAAGGAAAGCAACACAGCCCCGAGAAGAGACACCAGAAAGACUGAGCUCUACAUGGACACGUAAAUUUUUCUCUAUCUGAAGUUUAGAAUGUCUGACGUGUUGUGUUCAGCAAUCAUCACAAAGCUAGAUAUGAAUUUCUUGGCUUUUUUUUUUUUUUUUGACUCAUUAGGUUGCCCUGCUCAAAAUGAUUUACACAGAGAUAAUUAAACUUAAGCCCUAAGGACUAGUUAACUGUUUAGCAGUGUAUACAUUUCAUAUAGCCAUUUCCAUACAUCUAGUUUUAAAUUCAUUAACAAAAAUUAAUAGCUACCCAGCGCUCUACAUUGCGCAGCAUGUUGCUAUGGUAUGCUUGCUAAAUUACCCCUUUCUAUCACUCCUCCAGCGAUCUCAUAGACAGUUAAACUUUGCUGUGCUGGAAAUGUUGCCUACCAAUUUGCAGCAAAGCUC